rnacentral:lncRNA from 1 species
CACCACUGGAGAUUGGAAAAAUCAAAACUUCACAGCAGUGAUAAGAGCACUGAAAAGAAGCAGAUUUCCUGAGUCUUGAAAGGAAGGGGAAUUGGAAGAUAAUAUUUUUCUCACUGCUGUGCCUGUGUUUUCUUAGGCCCAGCUAAAUCCAAGGCGGUCUCUCCCAGGCCUAGGCUCUCCGGAGGACUGCGCGCAGGCAGCUGCCGAGGGAACAAGGGAACUUGCUGCCCAAAAUGUGUAGCUGCGAGUCCAAGAAAAGGACACAAAAUCCUCAGGAAGAAGGGGAUGCAUUGGGCUGAAAUGUCAUGGAAUGCUUUUCUGGGACUCUCAGCUCCAUCAAACCAUAAAUGAGAUUGGUGGUGGGGAGAAUCUUCUCUGGCCUAUACACUUUCCAUGGGAACCAUCAUGGCCAUCCCAUAGGCUUACUAGAAGAGCUGCUGUGACCUUUAUUCCUGCUUAGCCCAAUCUCAGCAGACCAGGGAAUAACAAGAACCAUUGAUUCCCCUGAGCUGCGCCAAUGUGGUUCCAGCUGUAACAGCACAAGCCCUGGAACACUGCUCAUUUGAUAAGAAAAGAAGGUACCACUUCCUUUCUUCUUCCUUCAUCCCUACUAGUUUUAGAAAAAUUAGGGACUGAGCCAGACCUUGCUAGUUGCCUGUCCAUUCUCCUCUUUUCAAAAAAUCUCAGCUUUGUGCAAAGUGACAAUAGGUCCAUCUAAAAAUACUAUAUUUUCUAGUCUGCAAGCCAAGGAGAGAGGCCUCAGGAGAAACCAGCCCUUCUGACACCUUGAUCUUGGACUUCUAGACUCCGGAACUGUGAGAAAAUAAAUUUCUGUUGGUUAAGCCAUCUAGUCUGUGGUGUUUUGUUAAGGCACCCCUAGCAAGCUAAUGCAAGACUCAUAUUCAGAAGAUAGAGAGAGCUUUAUAAAACAAUAUCAAAAAGACAGUCAAUACAAUGAGAACUGUACAAAAAAAAUUACAGAAAGCACUUCACGAAAGAGGAUAUCCAAAUAACCAAUAAACAUAUGAAAUGAAAAGUACCUCAACUUUAGGUGAUUCAUUAGUUAUUAGGGAAAUAAAAAUUAAAAACAUUAUAUGAUACUAUCACAUACUCAUUGGAAUGGCCAAAAUUGAAGGGAUGGAUAAUACCAAGUGUUGCCAAGGAUAUGGAACAACUGAAAUUUUGUACACUACUAGUGGAAUGAUAAAUUGAUAAAAAAUACUCUGAGAAAUUGUUUUGCAGGAGCAUAGCUAAAUAUAAACACAAUCUACAAUCCAGGGAUUCUUCAUAUAGGUAUAUAUCCACAGAAAUGUGAACAUAUGUUCACCAAAAGAUGUGUACUAGAAUAGUCAUUGUAGCAUAAUUUAUAAUUACUAAAACCCGCAAGCUACCUGAAUGCCCAACAAUACCGGAAUGGAUUUUUUAAAAUUUAUAUUUAUACAUUAGAAUAUAGCAGUGAGAAUAAAUGUUCUACAAUUCUAUGAAAUAAUAUGGGUGAUUCUCACGAACAUUAUGUUAAACAAAAGAAGUCAGACACAAAAGAGUAUCUGCUAUAUGACUCCAUAAAGUUCAAAAUCAGGCAAAAUUAAUCUAUGCCAUUCUUUGGGGUAUAUAAGAGGUAUUUCAAGGGAAUAAGGAUUCUGAAGUGCUGGAAAUGUUCUAGUGUGUCUCCUGGGUGCCAGUUACAUUGGUAUGUUCACUUUGUAAAAAUUAAUCAAGCUACAUACUUGUGAUUUGUGAACUUUUCUGUAUGUAUAUGUCACUAUAAAAUUUUUAUGAAAAUGAG